rnacentral:rRNA from 1 species
UACGUAGGGUGCAAGCGUUGUCCGGAAUUAUUGGGCGUAAAGAGCUCGUAGGCGGUCUGUCGCGUCGGCUGUGAAAACUUGGGGCUCAACCCCAAGCCUGCAGUCGAUACGGGCAGACUAGAGUGUGGUAGGGGGAGACUGGAAUUCCUGGUGUAGCGGUGAAAUGCGCAGAUAUCAGGAGGAACACCGGUGGCGAAGGCGGGACUCUGGGCCGAUACUGACGCUGAGGAGCGAAAGCGUGGGGAGCAAACAGG